UGAACGCUGGCGGCGUGCCUAAUACAUGCAAGUCGAACGCAUUGUGGUUGAAAUGAUAUGAAGAACUUGUUCAGAUUUGAUUUUCAACAUUGCAAUGAGUGGCGAACGGGUGAGUAACACGUGGGAAACCUACCUCUUAGCAGGGGAUAACAUUUGGAAACAAAUGCUAAUACCGUAUAAUAAUUAAAACCGCAUGGUUUUAGUUUAAAAGAUGGUCUUGCCAUCACUAAGAGAUGGUCCCGCGGUGUAUUAGUUAGUUGGUGAGGUAAUGGCUCACCAAGACAAUGAUACAUAGCCGAGUUGAGAGACUGACCGGCCACAAUGGGACUGAGACACGGCCCAUACUCCUACGGGAGGCAGCAGUAGGGAAUCUUCCACAAUGGACGAAAGUCUGAUGGAGCAACGCCGCGUGUGUGAUGAAGGGUUUCGGCUCGUAAAACACUGUUGUAAGAGAAGAAUGACAUUGAGAGUAACUGUUCAAUGUGUGACGGUAUCUUACCAGAAAGGAACGGCUAAAUACGUGCCAGCAGCCGCGGUAAUACGUAUGUUCCAAGCGUUAUCCGGAUUUAUUGGGCGUAAAGCGAGCGCAGACGGUUAUUUAAGUCUGAAGUGAAAGCCCUCGGCUCAACCGAGGAAUUGCUUUGGAAACUGG
rnacentral:rRNA from 1 species